rnacentral:rRNA from 1 species
CGAACGCUGGCGGCGUGCUUAACACAUGCAAGUCGAACGCGAAAGGGACUUCGGUCCUGAGUAAAGUGGCGCACGGGUGAGUAACGCGUAGAUAACCUGUCUUCAUGUCUGGAAUAAUACGCCGAAAGGGGUACUAAUACCGGAUACUCUUGCUUUUCAUAAGUUAUGCAAGCAAAGGUGGCCUCUGCAUAUGCUACUGCAUGAAGAGGGGUCUGCGUACCAUUAGCUAGUAGGUGGGGUAAUGGCCUACCUAGGCGACGAUGGUUAGCGGGUCUGAGAGGAUGAUCCGCCACACUGGCACUGGAACACGGGCCAGACUCCUACGGGAGGCAGCAGUGAGGAAUAUUGCGCAAUGGGGAAACCCUGACGCAGCGACGCCGCGUGAGUGAAGGAAGGCCUUCGGGUCGUAAAGCUCUGUCAAGAGGAAAGAAGUGUACAAUGGCUAAUACCUGUUGUAUUUGACGGUACCUCUAAAGGAAGCACCGGCUAACUCCGUGCCAGCAGCCGC